rnacentral:SRP_RNA from 1 species
GUGGGCCUGUAGUCCCAGCUACUUAGGAGACCGAGGUGGGUGGGUUGCUUGAACUCAGGAGUUCUGGGUUGUAGUGCACUGUGCAGAUCGGAUGUCUGCAUUAAGUUCGGCAUCAAUAUGUGAUCUUCUGGGAGCAGGGGACUACCAGGUCACCUAAGGAGAGGUGAAUCAGCCCAGGUCAGAAAUGGAGUAGGUAAAUACUCCCGGGCUGAUGAGUAGUGGGAUAGCGCCUGUGUUUAGCCACUGCACCCCAGCCUGGGAAAUGUAGCAAGACCCUGUCUCU